AUAGCCACAGCUGUGGAGGUCAGUGGGAGGUCGCGAGGUACAGCCAGGGUUAAUAGUGUCCUUCACUCUCACAAGUUCACCAAGGACAUGCUACAGGAUGUAAAGGUGGUGGGACAGGUAGACAACAAGUUCAUCGCCUGUAUGACCAGUUCCAGGACAAACAACAUGGCAGCAGAUCCAAAUCUGAUGUUGCUUUUUGAUCAGCAUGCUGCUCAUGAGCGUGUUCGCCUAGAAAGACUUACCAAAG